rnacentral:snRNA from 1 species
GUGCUCACUUCGGCAGCACGCAGACUAAAACUGGAACGAUGCAGAGAAGAUUAGCAUGGCUUCUGCACAGGGAUGACACGCACGUUUGUGAAGCGUUCCAUAUUUUU